rnacentral:rRNA from 1 species
UACAGAGGGUGCAAGCGUUAAUCGGAAUUACUGGGCGUAAAGCGUGCGCAGACGGUUGCGUAAGCCAGAUGUGAAAUCCCCGGGCUUAACCUGGGAACUGCAUUUGGGACUGCAAGGCUUGAGUACGGCAGAGGGGGGUAGAAUUCCUGGUGUAGCAGUGAAAUGCGUAGAUAUCAGGAGGAAUACCGAUGGCGAAGGCAGCCCCCUGGGUCGAUACUGACGCUCAUGCACGAAAGCGUGGGGAGCAAACAGG